rnacentral:misc_RNA from 1 species
AAGUCGUAACAAGGUUUCCGUAGGUGAACCUGCGGAAGGAUCAUUAACGAAGUUUGGUCAAGUCUGCGGUAUGGGCCUUCCCAGGCUCUUUACCCAGUUUGGCUGAUUUCCCGCCCUUUUUGGUUAUAAAUCUUCUUGUUGCUUUGGUAGGGCGGUUUUACAAGCUGCCCUACCAAAGGUUUACUAAAACUCCUGGUUAAACUUUUUGUUAUCGAGGAUGAAUAAUCCUACUGAGAAUAAACCAAAACUUUCAACAACGGAUCUCUUGGUUCCG